UUGGUUUUAAGAAAAUGUUAGCAGUGAUACAUCUGCUCAGUUGAGUUGCCAAAAGGAAUUAGUUUAAAAGGAAAAAAAAAGUUUAAAAACACACUUAGAAAGCAAUACAGCUCUAUUUUAUGUCCUGCCACUCCUGUACGCUGCCACAUUACAGAAUGCUUCAGAGAUCACAAAACGGCCUCCCAUCACCGAGAUGAAACCCAGCAAACUGCUAAUGAUAACAUUUAAAGCAAGAUGGGGAAAACCAGUGCUGAAAACGAAGGAUGUCAGAAGCUGUGCGCCUGUUUAAGCGACCUGGCCGGCUGCUGGAGAGCAGCCUACACAGCACCCUGCAGAGCCAGGACAUACAGGAAUCGCUAAUUACAGCGGUUUGAGGAGGAGGCAGCAACGCUUCUUUGUAAGGCUGGAGCACUCGGUGCCGUAUCACACUGGCUUUUAAUCUCUCAUCCCAUCAUAUGACUCUUAAUAGAGUUCUGUGGUCCCAGCGUUAACUGCAUGGAAAAGAGCUGACAGGGCAAGAAAGCAGCUCUUAUCAUUGCAGCUAGCCAGAUCCUGCUCUUCAGGAGGAUGCAGGGCAUGAAUUAUCUCCCUCCCAGGGAUGAGCACUACCGUGCAGAUGGAGACCUGCUCUGCUCAGGUUGGAGGCAAUGGGCGACUGUGCAACAGCACCUGGGACAGAGCAGAGCCCCAGGAUUUGCGCCCACACCACAGCAUCCCCUUAGGCCCUCUCGUGCACUUGGAUGCCUGCAGGAGCAAGCUGAGGAUGUGCUGCUGAAGGCACAGCAGCCAGCACAAACUCCUUCCCCAGGUAGUUCAGAUUCCUGGCAACCCUGUUGCCAUGCUACAGCUCCCAGAAAACUCAAAUUUCAACACAAAACCAAGGGCCUCUGAUGUUACCUCCUUCUAAGAGAUCACCUUGUGCCCACAAAUGAAAAGGGCCCUCAAAGUCACUUUCUAAAGCAAAGAAAAUGAAAGGGUUGGACAACGUGUGUGUUACACAGUUUUCUUUUUGAACUCUUCAGAUUUCUAAGCAGCUGGUAAGAAGAAAGAGGAACCUGACCUGAAUUAGAAAAGAAUGUUUCAUCUCAACUGCCCAAAGAUGAAAAGCAGCUUGUAAAAUAAAUGGAUGCUGACCCCAUGAGCUAAGAAGCCCAGGUUUUUCUGCUUCCCCUCUCCAAACAUCCCAAACCGACACCAACAAGCUGCAGAGCUCAGGACCACUGACGUUAGUACAGAAACAGUCGCACCAAGAGCUCAUGCACAAAGACACAAACACAUUGCCUCAUGCAUUGGGAAAAGCCUGGAGAUAUGCUGGCCCAAAGCCUGGGCUCCAAACGCAGGCAGUGUCUCUGCACUGCUCACCAUCAUUUCCGGACCACCUGCACUGCUGCAGCCAGGCAAUGACAUCAGGUGUCCAACCCUAAGCUGUCCUCUACAAGGAAACAGGCUGGGCAAGCUGGAUGUACAGAGGUGAAAGUCACAGGACAUCAAUGUUGUAAUGCCUAAUGCUCAGAGAGCUCCUUGUUGCACAGUCUGCUUUAUUUUUGCUUCAUGAUCAGAUUUCAGCUGGAGUAUCAAUCAUCAUGAGAUGUCAGAGCCCAGGUUUAAGCAACCUGACUUCCAUUAUAAGCAAUAAGUAGAAGUACUGGGAUUCCACCAUGUACCAUGAGACAUCUAAGCAUCCUUAAAAAGAUCUUUUAAUCACAGGAGUAAAGAGACCCGAAUUUCACUUAGCUUGAUAUAACUUUAUAUAUAGGACAUGAAAUAUUUUUACUGUACAGGAAAAAGUAAAGUAUGAUCCUGUAGUUCACACCCAUAACUCUUCCCUGAAUACACAGGUUUAUCGCAGGAAUCAAUUCACCCUAGGGAGACUGCGACAUCAGGUGAUGGAUGGGAAAAGGAGAAGCAAAACUGUCCUGCGUUUUCCAGGAAAAUAACAAAGUGUGGUGGGAAAGGUAAAAAUAAACCUUUAGACAAGAAACAAGAGAACCUCAGAUUCCUUAAAAAAAGAAUACAGUGGCAGCCUCCACAGCAAAUUAAUUUGCAGCUCAAUACAUGAGUUGUCAGCCUGAAAAAGCACAGUGCUACAGGGAAGCAGCAGCAGGGCCGGGCGGCCGCUGCCCACAAAUCCCCUGGCACCACGGCCAAGGCAGAAUCUGCUUAUAUUUUACAAAUAGCUGGAUCCUUCCAUAAUCCAGGCUCUGAGAAAUUUUUAUCUCUCUGUGAGCUCAGCUAUUCUCAAGUCCUUUCUGUGUCAUUUUACCUCUGUGCUGCAGGAUACACUGACCAAUUUUAUAGCAAAGAUUGGCUGAUGUGACGGCUGGAUUUGGGUCAGAUGGAGCUUGCCUUUUGGCCCCGCUCUCCCACAGGCUGGUGGAAGAGAUGUCCAAACUCACACCCUCCUACGGCUUGGCUGCUAUGUGGAGCCUGGAACUGCUGCUGCUCCUGGAUCUCCAGGUCUCUAUCUCAAAGCCUAAGUACCACCAGGACAGACUGCCACAUGGACGCACCAGCUUACUUACCCAAGCUGCUCUCCAGGUCUUUGGGCCCUGCAAUGGGGUAUCUCAGUUUUCACUUGUCCCAGCAAUCUCCAGCCCCUACACUCUCUGCUCCUCAGGGUACGCAACUCUGAGCGGUUGAAGUUGUAGGAAAAGGAGGAUUACAGCAAGGAGAACAGAGAAAAGACAUCCAGACAUCCCCAACACAUGAAGCCUUAACUCCACAGAGCAGGAACUGCUCUCAAGUGUCAGCACUGUUCUCAGUUAUGUGCCUUGGGUUAAAUGUCCCAGUGAACAAAUAAAUAAGAAUAAAAAGAUUGAGGGCAGAUUUUUCCAAAUGCUGUACUGUGCCAACCUCAGGUCCAACACACUUAGCCAAACUCACAGACAAGGACAGUUAUUCACACACUUUUGUCCCUGAAAGUAACAAAGGAGCUCAGUAAUCCAAAUAUAGGGCAGUGCUCAAAAGCAUUUCCUGCACAUUUUCUGGUGACUAUAUUUCCAGAAAGACUGCAAUUCCUUCUUGCAUGUGGUAGCACGAUGGAUAUCCUGCAAAAUACUGGGUGCUAAGACAGCUUGCCAAACUAUUCCCCAGUUAAAAUUCAUCCCCAGCCACAGCUCUGUUCUACAUCGCUGCCAGCAAGCUGCAGCCUCCAAAAUCCAGCAGGUAUUACCACUAUAUCUCAGCUCCACCCUAUAAAUCUAACUCUAUCCAUAACAUUCUGGGAGUGAUCAUAUUCCAGUCCAGAGUGCUGCUGACAUCCAAAAUUCAACUAGCAGAAGGAAAAGCAAGCCAGCAACUUCUCAGAAGCAGCAGCUGCAGGUGCAGCUCCUCUGGUUUCAUUUGUGCCUUCCCUCUCCUCUGUAAAUGGGGUUACGAAAAAAGGCAUUAAUAACCAGUUUGCAAAAUGCAUCAGUUACACUCAGGAAGAUGGACUCACCUGGGCUCUGUUUCACCCAUUCCAGAACGAGUGGUUUGAGUGGCUCUACAGGGUACGUUUGUAAAUGAACACUGUUCAAGAGACAAGGAAAUGAGAUUCUUUGCCCUGAGCAGCUGCAGCAGCCCACUGGGAGAAGACAAUACACAAGCAUGAAGCAGAGCAGCUAUUCUGCAGUCCUGAUGGCUUUGGCCAGGACAUCUGGUGUUACAUACCCAAACUUUCUUAUUUAGGAGAGAGAGCAGACCCUAGCUCUUACCACCACUCUUUUCCACGAGCCAGAGCACCAGCGCCACAGACACACUGUUAGGACAUGCUUAGGCUAC